GCAGUGGUGGUUCAGGGGUAAGAAUCCUGGCCUUCCAUGCGGGAGACCCGAGUUCAAUCCCAGCCAAUGCA
rnacentral:tRNA from 1 species